GAGGUGCUGGAGCAGGAGGAACCGGGGAGCUGAGCACUGUGCCCUCAGUGGGGAGGGAUCCAGCACCUGGCAAGGCAACCUGUGCCUCACCUCUGCUUCACAAACUUCUGUGACCUCAUGUUUGCAGGAAAGUUCCAGCUUAGCACUGCACCCCCUGAAAUCUACAGGCAUUUAAAUGGAUUUUUGUCUUACCCAACUUUAGGAAAAAAAUCAAUAUUGUUAUUAAGAAACUAUGAAGAUACAGAGCAGGAAGGACAGCAAGCCACAAAACUAUUUCUUUUUGAAGUAUAACUGGUUGCCACACCACGAUGCCAGGAGUCCACACCUCACUUUCUGUGGGGAGAGCUGCCUUGCUGUUCAAGGCCAGCUGAUCUUGUGCUAUGGCAGCUCCAGGGGACUGCAGAUCUCCAGUCAAGACUUCACCUCAGCAGCAGCAGAGAGAUGGAGUGUAGGAGAUAACCCCAUAUGGUGCUUGUAUUCCACUGCAGAGAAAUCCAGCUGCUGGAGGAAAAGCCUCCUGACAAAGAUCUCAUCAAUGAUCACCACUGCAUUUACAAGUACGCAAUCCCCAAAAGCUCCCAGUUGUGACCUUUGUUCUUUUUGGUGUUUUUAGUAAGUUCCACAAUGGGUUUUUUAGAAAAUAGAUUAAUUUUCCAUUCUUCCUUACUAACAUCAAACAAGAAAUCCUAUUAUUAUUUAGUGAAGAAUUCUCCACUUUUGGCUUUACAGAUUAAAAUCUGUGGUGAUAUUUGGCAACAGCAUGGCAAGGCAUAAUUAAUUGUUGCCUCUGUGGAUUAGAAAAUCAGAGAAAAUUUUCAGUAACUGGGUUUUCUGUUUGAAAUACUGUAUUCAAAGACUAUAAAACUCAAGAGACAAUCAUCAUCUCUAAGU